AUACGAAAGGUGCAAGCGUUGUUCGGAUUUACUGGGCGUAAAGAGAGUGUAGGUUGUUUAUUAAGUCGGAUGUGAAAUCGCGGCGCUCAACCUCGGAACUGCAUUCGAUACUGAUAGGCUAGAGUUUGGGAGGGGUAAGCGGAAUUCCGUGUGUAGCAGUGAAAUGCGUAGAUAUACGGAGGAACACCUGAGGCGAAGGCGGCCUACUGGACCAAUACUGACACUGAGACUCGAAAGCGUGGGUAGCAAACAGGAUUAGAAACCCUAGUAGUCC
rnacentral:rRNA from 1 species